CUGUGAAUAUUCUUGCUGUUCUGAUUUUGUAAUAAUUAGGGCAAGCUAAACAUUCACUAUAGUAAGACCAUGGAUAUGUCCUUACACCUAGUUCUUUUUUUUUUUUUUUGUCUUUUUUUUUUCAGGUCACAUGC